CCGCCCGCCAGCGCCGCGUUCCCACGACCCGCGUCCGCGGGGGGCGCAGGGCGCGGGCGCCGAGCAUCCCGGGGAGGAUGAGGCCGGGCGCCGGCCCGAGCGGGCCGCGGCUGGGGCUCGGCAGGAAUUAAAGAAGCCGGGAAGAUGGGGCGCCGCGCGCUGCCCGCCCGGCCGGGGCUGGGGACCGGGGACGCCGGCCGGGCGCUCGUCUGCCUGCUCUGCUGCGUGCUCCCGCACACCGCCCCGCAGGUGCUCAGGAUCGGUCAAAUAAUUUCCUCUGAAGCUUAAGUACAUAGAGAAAAGUCCUGAUAAGAGUCAGCAUAUGAAGCAGACAUUAGUCUUGUCUAUCAAAUAUCUUUCAUAAAGGGAUCUCAAUAUACAAACAAUAAACUGCUAUUAUGAAGCA
rnacentral:lncRNA from 1 species